AAACCUGUGACUGCCAAUUUGGAUCAUAAGGGGAAUGGAAGUUGGAACUUGACUGGAAGUAUGGAAUGGCACAUCCUAAAAAUAGAAGUGCAACAGAUGGUGCCUCCAAAUCCCUUCUGAAGGCAAUUGUGCAGACCAGCAUGUAACUCAACAAGAAAUGUUCAUGGCUCCAACCAGUAGAAAUUAAUACCAGAGACAGAAAUCCUAUCACUGAAGCCGUGGAGGAAGACACACACUCCAGAUCAAGAGUUCUGUCCUCUACAUUCCCACUAAAGCUUUUCUGCAAAGUCCUUAUAGAACCUAAUAAACCUUGUCCUGAUCACUGAACCACUGUGGUUUAAUUAUGCAAAACUGGGGUUGAAGAUUCAAGAUAUUGCUCAGAUUGUUCCACAAUAAACUCUUCUGAUUCAACAGUGUCAGCAGGAAGGAGCCCAUGGAUGCCAAACUAACCCCAUCUCUGCAGCCUGUUGUGCCAUCACAUGAAAAUAGGAUUCUUGCUUCUGGAUCACUCAGCUCUGUUGUCCAGGUCGAAGCAGGAGGUGAUGCUAUAUGGAAAGACAAGCCAAGGAGACCUUGCUCAG